rnacentral:rRNA from 1 species
CACGUAGGGCGCAAGCGUUGUCCGGAAUUAUUGGGCGUAAAGAGCUCGUAGGUGGUCUGUUGCGUCCGCUGUGAAAACCCGGGGCUUAACCCCUGGCUUGCAGUGGAUACGGACAGACUAGAGGUAGGUAGGGGAGAAUGGAAUUCCCGGUGUAGCGGUGAAAUGCGCAGAUAUCGGGAGGAACACCGGUGGCGAAGGCGGUUCUCUGGGCCUUACCUGACGCUGAGGAGCGAAAGCGUGGGGAGCGAACAGG